ensembl:lncRNA
GUUCGGAGCAGCAGGGAGGGACACGGGGGCCGAGGCGGGUCUACAUGCCAAGUUAACAGGUUCAGAGGGCUAACAGAGAGGGGAGGCUGUUAGAAUGUGUGAGAAACCACUGCGCCGCUGUGUCCUUCUGCAAAUGUGUUGACAGUGUUUUCUGCGUGUGUGUGUGUGUGUGUGUGUGUGUGUGUGUGUGUGUCACCACUCUCCCUGUGUUGACAUAUGUUAAUAGCAGUAGAAGGUAGAGGGCAAAAGUUAGAAUGACAGAGCUCCUUUCAUACCAGCCUGACAACCUGCUGCCAGGUCAUGGGUUGUUAAGGAAGUGGCAGUUACGACCUUAACUGAUGUGGUAUGAUGGGAGUUCUUUAAGUACUUUUAACUCCCGCAUGCAGUUUACUACUUGGUGCAAAUGAUUUUCUUAGCAUAACAAAAAGGGGAACUGGCUGGAAUAAUGUAUUAGGUCAUUGAAAUAAGAAAUGCAAGCUUAAUUUGACAACACAAAUGAUGCUGCAUCAUCUUUUCUGGCUAGUUUUUUUUUUUUUUUUUUUCAAAAGCUGGACUCCUGUAACAUUUCUGUUGUUCUUAAUAAUUUGCUUUCAUGCUGUUUUUCUUCUCCCUCUCCACCUGCAGGCUCUUUUCUUUACCAGGCCAGAGGGACUUUAAAACUGAUCACUCCCUGUGCUGUCAUCUGCUGUUCGCAGUGAGAUCUAUUGCAGACAAUACACAGUUUUUGGCACCAAAGUAAAUGACUUUUUUAAAAAAAAAAAAGACAGAGAGAGAGAGAGAGAGAGAGAGAGAGAGAGAGAGACGUAAGCAGUUAGAUCUUGUACAAAUGUGUUUGUCAAAGUCACAUGAAGAUUUUGAUAGCGAUUUCUGCAGUAUAGAAAAGCUAUAGAUACUGUCAACCUGAAUAUUUCAGCACUAUAGUGAAUGGCUUCAGUAUUAUUAUGUGAUAUAAAUCAAAUUUAAUGCCUUUAGUUUUCUCAUCUUACAUCUUCAAGGAGCUUAAAGACUUGUCUCUGUGUAGC